rnacentral:rRNA from 1 species
UACGAAGGGGGCUAGCGUUGCUCGGAAUUACUGGGCGUAAAGGGCGCGUAGGCGGCUCGGCACGUCCGUUGUGAAAUCGCCCGGCUCAACUGGGCGGGGUCAGCGGAUACGGCCGAGCUUGAGCAAGCUAGGGGGCAAUGGAAUUCCCGGUGUAGUGGUGGAAUGCGUAGAUAUCGGGAGGAACACCAGUGGCGAAGGCGGUUGCCUGGGGCUUUGCUGACGCUGAUGCGCGAAAGCGUGGGGAGCGAACAGG